GUGCUCGCUUUGGCAGCACAUAGACUAAAACUGGAGCAAUACAGAGAAGAUUAGCAUGGCCCCAGCAAAGGGAUGACAUGCACAUUUGUGAAAUGUUUUAUAUUUUU
ensembl:snRNA U6 U6 spliceosomal RNA